AAGAGAAUUGACCGAGUGGUUUAAGGUGGCUAGCUUGAGAUUAGUUAUGGUUAAUCUCCAUCAUGGGUUCGAAUCCCAUAUUCUCUG
rnacentral:tRNA from 1 species